GAUCGGAGUGCUUGCACUCUGUGAAACAAGAUACAGGCUAGCGGCGGACGGGUGAGUAACACGUGGGUAACCUGCCCAAGAGAUCGGGAUAACACCUGGAAACAGAUGCUAAUACCGGAUAACAACAGAUGAUGCCUAUCAACUGUUUAAAAGAUGGUUCUGCUAUCACUCUUGGAUGGACCUGCGGUGCAUUAGCUAGUUGGUAGGGUAACGGCCUACCAAGGCGAUGAUGCAUAGCCGAGUUGAGAGACUGAUCGGCCACAUUGGGACUGAGACACGGCCCAAACUCCUACGGGAGGCAGCAGUAGGGAAUCUACCACAAUGGACGCAAGUCUGAUGGAGCAACGCCGCGUGAGUGAAGAAGGGUUUCGGCUCGUAAAGCUCUGUUGUUGGUGAAGAAGGACGGGGGUAGUAACUGACCUUUGUUUGACGGUAAUCAAUUAGAAAGUCACGGCUAACUACGUGCCAGCAGCCGCGGUAAUACGUAGGUGGCAAGCGUUGUCCGGAUUUAUUGGGCGUAAAGCGAGUGCAGGCGGUUCGAUAAGUCUGAUGUGAAAGCCUUCGGCUCAACCGGAGAAUUGCAUCAGAAACUGUCGAGCUUGAGUACAGAAGAGGAGAGUGGAACUCCAUGUGUAGCGGUGAAAUGCGUAGAUAUAUGGAAGAACACCGGUGGCGAAGGCGGCUCUCUGGUCUGUUACUGACGCUGAAGCUCGAAAGCAUGGGUAGC
rnacentral:rRNA from 1 species